rnacentral:rRNA from 1 species
GGGCCCGCACAAGCAGCGGAGCGUGUUGCUUAAUUCGAUGAUACGCGAGGAACCUUACCAGGGCUUAAAUGGGAAAUGACAGGGGCAGAGACGCCCCCUUCUUCGGACAUUUUUCAAGGUGCUGCAUGGUUGUCGUCAGCUCGUGCCGUGAGGUGUCAGGUUAAGUCCUAUAACGAGCGCAACCCCUACCGUUAGUUGCCAGCGUGUAAUGACGGGGACUCUAACGGAACUGCCGGUGCAAACCGUGAGGAAGGUGGGGACGACGUCAAAUCAUCACGGCCCUUACGUCCUGGCCACACACGUGCUACAAUGGUAGGUACAGAGGGAAGCCACCCCGCGAGGGGGAGCG